CCUACGGGUGGCUGCAGUGAGGAAUAUUGGUCAAUGGGCUUACGCCUGAACCAGCCAAGUCGCGUGAGGGAAGACUGCCCUAUGGGUUGUAAACCUCUUUUGUCAGGGAGCAACGCCGGCUACGUGUAGCCGGACUGAGAGUACCUGAAGAAAAAGCCUAGGCUAACUCCGUGCCAGCAGCCGCGGUAAUACGGAGGAUGCGAGCGUUAUCCGGAUUUAUUGGGUUUAAAGGGUGCUUAGGCGGUAUGUCAAGUCAAGGGUGAAAUCCCCGCGCUCAACGUGGGAACUGCCUUUGAAACUAGCAAACUGGAGUGUGUGAGAGGAUAGUGGAAUUACAGGUGUAGGAGUGAAAUCCGUAGAUAGCUGGAGGAACAUCAGUGGCGAAGGCGACUAUCUGGCACAUAACUGACGCUGAGGAGCGAAAGCGUGGGUAGCAAACAGGAUUAGAUACCCCUGUAGUC
rnacentral:rRNA from 1 species